rnacentral:lncRNA from 1 species
GAAGCAAAAGACAAACAGUUGGUCCUGGUUAUAUGAUAUUCUCCUACUUGGUCUUCAUAAGGACAUGAACUUUUCUUGGAACCUCCAUACCAUCCC